GGGCCCUGCUAUGCGGAGAUAGCUCUGCUACCAAGGAUUUUCUCGGGAUCACCGGGACGAGCUCGUGGAGGGGCUGGAAUCGCUCAAGGAGGGGCUGGAAAAUCCCGAUUUUUCCAUCCUUUUCCACACCUGCAGCAGGAUUGGAGUGGUUCUGGGCAGGAGGAUCCCCCCGGAGCAGCUCCAGGGGCUGCUCCUGGCCCUGCUGGAAUCCUGGGACGAUCCCGAGCGGGAUUGCGCCCGCGCCGCCGCCGCCAUCGGCAACGCCCUCAUCCGCGAGAGGGGAGCCAUCCUGCAGGA